GCCAGGAACAGGAAUCUCCUCGCUGCCUGCUGACCUGCUCUUGUUCAGAGCUUCUCCCCCCACCCCAGGCGAGAAAGCCUCUGUGGGUAUUCUGGGCCUGCUGAAGUCAGUGCCUUUGUCCCGAAGAUCCACAUAUGAGAAGGUCUGGAUUGGCGGAUCCACCAGCACUUCAUGUGUGCCGGCACGUUUCUAUCCUGGCUCCCUCCUGCGAUGCCUUCCUCCUCCUCCUCCCCUGCAGACCGUGUGCUUUGGCAGUGCCGCUUCCCCCUCUGAUCCUUAUCUUGGCUGCCGGGCUUGCGGGGCUCGAGGGCGCGUUCCUGCCUGGCAGCCAAACAGCGCAACCCCGGGGCUGAGCCGCAGGAAUGCGCUUCCCAGAGAGCUCGGCGUUUGGAACGGCAGCCUGUGUUUGGUAACACAACCCGGCCGUGACUGCUGGAAAACGUUACCCUCCACCUCUGGGCCGGGGCAGCUAGAAGAGGCUUUAAAAUCACAAAUUAAAAUACAAAUACAACGGGGAGAAGGAAAGCCAUCCUGGCAAAGGGAAGACAAGGUGAUCAGCAACGCUCAUCACACACUUGAGCUUGUUUUCUCUGAUUAUGAUUGACCCUUAGGAAGGGGUUUGGGGGCACCAAACUGACCAAGCCCUGUUCAGUUAUCGAUGAACACAACCUCAGAGCCAGCAAGACCCUUAGAUGGGCUCGAGGAGCCGCCUGAGCCUGAUUUAGCCCAAAUUCCCCUUUUCCCAUCUGAGCUCUGAGGAUGGCAGCCUCCAUCCUUAAAUUAGCUGGAGGGUGCUGGGAGAGCUGCUUGUAGGGCCAAGAGUUCCACAGGACAGCAGGAGGAAGGAGCCCAUGGGACUCGCCUUGGUUUCCAUCAGCUUGGUUUGCUGCGCUGCAAUUUUUGACUUAAUUACAUUGUUUGCAAAAGGAGAGUUUGUAAAUGCUUGUCACCAGGAGAACAAAGUUACAUAAUUAAACUAUUUAGCAGAGUCUGUGGCUUCAGUGCAGUUCUCUGGGGUGAUUCAGCAUUCCAAUAAAAAUACUGUGUGAUACCA
rnacentral:lncRNA from 1 species